GGGCCCAUAGCUCAGCUGGCUAGAGCGCCUCGCUUGCACCGAGGAGGUCAGGAGUUCGAAUCCCCUUGGGUCCA
rnacentral:tRNA from 1 species